UGAUACAAGUAGCUCUUGUGGCUGGAGAUUGCAGGUCUGUGACUGCUGCUAAUUAGGAAGAAUAAUGAUGACAUCUAUUCAAGUUCUAUUUAUGUUCUUGUGGCUGCAGCUUGACUGUGUAAGAGGAGGAGAGAAUGUGGGGCUGCACUCUCCUACCCUGAGUGUCCAGGAAGGAGACACCUCUGUUAUCAACUGUUCUUAUUCAAACAGUAACUCAGACUACUUCCCUUGGUAUAAGCAAGAGCUUGGAAAAGGUCCUCAAUUCAUCAUAGAUAUUCGUUCAAAUAGGGACGAAAAGGAAGAUCAAAGAUUCACUGUUUUAUUGAAUAAGACGGCCAAACAUCUCUCCCUGCACAUUGCCGGCACCCAACCUGGAGACUCAGCUGUCUACUUCUGUGCAGAGAGUGCACAUUGCUUCCCAGGCACCUGUAACCUAUACCCAAACCUGAGGCUGUAGCUGAAGCCACACUCCCUUUCCUUUGGCAUAGGCCAUCAAUUCACAUCAUGUAAAAUGAACA